rnacentral:rRNA from 1 species
CGAAUGCUGACAUAAGUAACGAUAAAGCGGGUGAAAAGCCCGCUCGCCGGAAGACCAAGGGUUCCUGUCCAACGUUAAUCGGGGCAGGGUGAGUCGACCCCUAAGGCGAGGCCGAAAGGCGUAGUCGAUGGGAAACAGGUUAAUAUUCCUGUACUUGGUGUUACUGCGAAGGGGGGACGGAGAAGGCUAUGUUGGCCGGGCGACGGUUGUCCCGGUUUAAGCGUGUAGGCUGGUUUUCCAGGCAAAUCCGGAAAAUCAAGGCUGAGGCGUGAUGACGAGGCACUACGGUGCUGAAGCAACAAAUGCCCUGCUUCCAGGAAAAGCCUCUAAGCAUCAGGUAACAUCAAAUCGUACCCCAAACCGACACAGGUGGUCAGGUAGAGAAUACCAAGGCGCUUGAGAGAACUCGGGUGAAGGAACUAGGCAAAAUGGUGCCGUAACUUCGGGAGAAGGCACGCUGAUAUGUAGGUGAAGUCCCUUGCGGAUGGAGCUGAAAUCAGUCGAAGAUACCAGCUGGCUGCAACUGUUUAUUAAAAACACAGCACUGUGCAAACACGAAAGUGGACGUAUACGGUGUGACGCCUGCCCGGUGCCGGAAGGUUAAUUGAUGGGGUUAGCGGUAACGCGAAGCUCUUGAUCGAAGCCCCGGUAAACGGCGGCCGUAACUAUAACGGUCCUAAGGUAGCGAAAUUCCUUGUCGGGUAAGUUCCGACCUGCACGAAUGGCGUAAUGAUGGCCAGGCUGUCUCCACCCGAGACUCAGUGAAAUUGAACUCGCUGUGAAGAUGCAGUGUACCCGCGGCAAGACGGAAAGACCCCGUGAACCUUUACUAUAGCUUGACACUGAACAUUGAGCCUUGAUGUGUAGGAUAGGUGGGAGGCUUUGAAGUGUGGACGCCAGUCUGCAUGGAGCCGACCUUGAAAUACCACCCUUUAAUGUUUGAUGUUCUAACGUUGGCCCCUGAUCGGGGUUGCGGACAGUGUCUGGUGGGUAGUUUGACUGGGGCGGUCUCCUCCUAAAGAGUAACGGAGGAGCACGAAGGUUGGCUAAUCCUGGUCGGACAUCAGGAGGUUAGUGCAAUGGCAUAAGCCAGCUUGACUGCGAGCGUGACGGCGCGAGCAGGUGCGAAAGCAGGUCAUAGUGAUCCGGUGGUUCUGAAUGGAAGGGCCAUCGCUCAACGGAUAAAAGGUACUCCGGGGAUAACAGGCUGAUACCGCCCAAGAGUUCAUAUCGACGGCGGUGUUUGGCACCUCGAUGUCGGCUCAUCACAUCCUGGGGCUGAAGUAGGUCCCAAGGGUAUGGCUGUUCGCCAUUUAAAGUGGUACGCGAGCUGGGUUUAGAACGUCGUGAGACAGUUCGGUCCCUAUCUGCCGUGGGCGCUGGAGAACUGAGGGGGGCUGCUCCUAGUACGAGAGGACCGGAGUGGACGCAUCACUGGUGUUCGGGUUGUCAUGCCAAUGGCACUGCCCGGUAGCUAAAUGCGGAAGAGAUAAGUGCUGAAAGCAUCUAAGCACGAAACUUGCCCCGAGAUGAGUUCUCCCUGACUCCUUGAGAGUCCUGAAGGAACGUUGAAGACGACGACGUUGAUAGGCCGGGUGUGUAAGCGCAGCGAUGCGUUGAGCUAACCGGUACUAAUGAACCGUGAGGCUUAACCUU